rnacentral:rRNA from 2 species
GAGUAGGGCGGGACACGUGGUAUCCUGUCUGAAUAUGGGGGGACCAUCCUCCAAGGCUAAAUACUCCUGACUGACCGAUAGUGAACCAGUACCGUGAGGGAAAGGCGAAAAGAACCCCGGCGAGGGGAGUGAAAAAGAACCUGAAACCGUGUACGUACAAGCAGUGGGAGCACAGGUUUACCUGUGUGACUGCGUACCUUUUGUAUAAUGGGUCAGCGACUUAUAUUCUGUAGCAAGGUUAACCGAAUAGGGGAGCCGGAGGGAAACCGAGUCUUAAUUGGGCGUUAAGUUGCAGGGUAUAGACCCGAAACCCGGUGAUCUAGCCAUGGGCAGGUUGAAGGUUGGGUAACACUAACUGGAGGACCGAACCGACUAAUGUUGAAAAAUUAGCGGAUGACCUGUGGCUGGGGGUGAAAGGCCAAUCAAACCGGGAGAUAGCUGGUUCUCCCCGAAAGCUAUUUAGGUAGCGCCUCGUGAAUUCAUCUCCGGGGGUAGAGCACUGUUUCGGCUAGGGGGCCAUCCCGGCUUACCAACCCGAUGCAAACUGCGAAUACCGGAGAAUGUUAUCACGGGAGACACACGGCGGGUGCUAACGUCCGUCGUGAAGAGGGAAACAACCCAGACCGCCAGCUAAGGUCCCAAAGUCAUGGUUAAGUGGGAAACGAUGUGGGAAGGCCCAGACAGCCAGGAUGUUGGCUUAGAAGCAGCCAUCAUUUAAAGAAAGCGUAAUAGCUCACUGGUCGAGUCGGCCUGCGCGGAAGAUGUAACGGGGCUAAACCAU